UUAUUGCCGUCUCUUGGAGACAUGGCAAUAAGUUGUACAUCAUACGUGAAAGCUUGUGCGUUACUUAUGUCUACAACUUAAGUCUAAGUAAGUGUUACGACAAUUCUUGUGCUCAGACCCUAAGUUAAUUGUAAGAAUAUAUUA